rnacentral:rRNA from 1 species
GCUACCAUGCAGUCGAGCGGUACAGAAAGUAGCUUGCUACUUUGCUGACGAGCGGCGGACGGGUGAGUAAUGCUUGGGAACAUGCCUUGAGGUGGGGGACAACAGUUGGAAACGACUGCUAAUACCGCAUAAUGUCUACGGACCAAAGGGGGCUUCGGCUCUCGCCUUUAGAUUGGCCCAAGUGGGAUUAGCUAGUUGGUGAGGUAAUGGCUCACCAAGGCGACGAUCCCUAGCUGGUUUGAGAGGAUGAUCAGCCACACUGGGACUGAGACACGGCCCAGACUCCUACGGGAGGCAGCAGUGGGGAAUAUUGCACAAUGGGCGCAAGCCUGAUGCAGCCAUGCCGCGUGUGUGAAGAAGGCCUUCGGGUUGUAAAGCACUUUCAGUCAGGAGGAAAGCGUGGUGGUUAAUACCCAUCAUGUGUGACGUUACUGACAGAAGAAGCACCGGCUAACUCCGUGCCAGCAGCCGCGGUAAUACGGAGGGUGCGAGCGUUAAUCGGAAUUACUGGGCGUAAAGCGUACGCAGGCGGUUUGUUAAGCGAGAUGUGAAAGCCCCGGGCUCAACCUGGGAACUGCAUUUCGAACUGGCAAACUAGAGUGUGAUAGAGGGUGGUAGAAUUUCAGGUGUAGCGGUGAAAUGCGUAGAGAUCUGAAGGAAUACCGAUGGCGAAGGCAGCCACCUGGGUCAACACUGACGCUCAUGUACGAAAGCGUGGGGAGCAAACGGGAUUAGAUACCCCGGUAGUCCACGCCGUAAACGAUGUCUACUAGAAGCUCGGAGCCUCGGUUCUGUUUUUCAAAGCUAACGCAUUAAGUAGACCGCCUGGGGAGUACGGCCGCAAGGUUAAAACUCAAAUGAAUUGACGGGGGCCCGCACAAGCGGUGGAGCAUGUGGUUUAAUUCGAUGCAACGCGAAGAACCUUACCUACACUUGACAUACAGAGAACUUACCAGAGAUGGUUUGGUGCCUUCGGGAACUCUGAUACAGGUGCUGCAUGGCUGUCGUCAGCUCGUGUUGUGAG